UCUCUGCUUCUUUAAUUCUGUCUAAUAUUUCAACAUAGAAACUGCCAAAGGAGGUAUGGCUAACAAUAACAGUUUGAAUUUCUUUCAGCAAAAGCAGAGUUACUAACUACAAGGAGCAACUUUAGUUCAUAUGCAGGGAACUGGAAUCUUACUGGGUUAACAUAUUCAGAUAUGUUGUAGGGAGGCAAAUUGAAGAACCACCCCACCCCUAGCGGCAUCAACUCUUGCUACGCUACUGAUGCAUCCCAAUUUGGCCCUACACUGAUUUCAGACUGCAAGUACAGCAUUUUCUUCUCAACCAAUAUAAAACUUUCAUUGUUUUUGUGGAUUACAGCUUUUGCAUAAUUUAGUCUAAUUGUGGUUUAUGUUUAGCCAUGUUGAAUUUCCAAAAAAUAGUUUUUGCCCAUUUGUUUUCAUCUAGACCCUUUUCUGAAAAAUAUAUUGGAUCAACAUGGGUGUUUUGUUCUUUCAACCUCCCAAAAAUCUUAAAAAGUCAAAAACAUUCUUUUUUAAUGAGUUACACAGUUGUGAAAUUGCAGUCAAAAUGAUGUUUAGUGUCAAUUUUGUGAAACUGUAUGCAAAAGGAAAAUUGACUGUUUCACUCGACCACCUACAGUAUUAUUUUGUGACGUUACAAAUAUUAUGUGUAAGUACAGUAUAUUAUAUAUACAGUAUGUUAGAAAAUGGAUGGAUGGAUGGAUGGGUGGCUGGGUGCAUGGAUAUUAUACAUAAACAGAGUGAGAUUUGGGCCACUGGUGGCCUGUUCCACGUUGGACAAGCAGGCAGAUAGGAAUUUCAUAGAAUGGUAUACAUAUGACAAUAAAUCUGAAAUAAACUGAUGACACUGCAUUUUUUUAUCAGAGCAAAAUGUUAUAUUUUGAAAAAGCUAACACUCUUGGAAACCUGAACGUUGUUGCUAAGUGUGAUAGAUAUAAGCCACAAUGAAACAGAAUAUAAUGUGAUUUUUAGCACAUACUGAAUCAUUGUUCAGAAUAUGAUAGGAAGAGAAUGACUAAGAGUCGCAUUAGUAACUAUUACAGCUUCCG